AGCGCAGGCGGGAAGACAAGUUGGAAGUGAAAUCCAUGGGCUCAACCCAUGAACUGCUUUCAAAACUGUUUUUCUUGAGUAGUGCAGAGGUAGGCGGAAUUCCCGGUGUAGCGGUGGAAUGCGUAGAUAUGCGGAGGAACACCGAUGGCGAAGGCAAUCCCCUGGGCCUGUACUGACGCUCAUGCACGAAAGCGUGGGAGCAAACA
rnacentral:rRNA from 1 species